rnacentral:rRNA from 1 species
AACGAACGCUGGCGGCGUGCUUAACACAUGCAAGUCGAACGCGAAAGGGACUUCGGUCCUGAGUAGAGUGGCGCACGGGUGAGUAACGCGUAAGUGAUCUACCCCUGUAUUUGGGAUAACUAUGGGAAACUGUAGCCAAUACCGGAUACGUUCAUGUAGUUGCGAUUAUGUGAAGAAAGAUGGCCUCUGAUUCAAGCUAUUGUACAGGGAGGAGCUUGCGUACCAUUAGCUAGUUGGUAGGGUAAUGGCCUACCAAAGGCAACGAUGGUUAGCGGGUCUGAGAGGAUGAUCCGCCACACUGGAACUGAAACACGGACCAGACUCCUACGGGAGGCAGCAGUGAGGAAUAUUGCGCAAUGGGGGCAACCCUGACGCAGCGACGCCGCGUGGAUGAUGAAGGCCUUCGGGUCGUAAAAUCCUGUCAGAUGGGAAGAAGUGCGAGGUGGUUAAUACCCAUUUUGUUUGACGGUACCAUCAGAGGAAGCACCGGCUAACUCCGUGCCAGCCGCCGCCGUAAAAC